rnacentral:lncRNA from 1 species
AAAAAAGUUUCUGAAAUUAAGAAAGACGUAAAAUUGCGGGCUGAUAUUAAGGAUGAGAUGCAGAUUUUACACGUUCAGAUAUGCAGAGACUUUAGGUUAAUUAUUAGAGAUGAGUUACGCGGGUUCAAAGAUGGUGGGGUUAAAGAAGUUGAUAGUGAUUCUGAUGAUGAUUCUGAUUCUGAUGAGGGUGGUGAUGCUGAUGCUGAUGCUGAUGAUGAUGAUGAUGAUGAUGAUGAAGCCGAUGAUUCUGAUGAAGCUGAUGAUGUUGUUGAUCAGCAUGCUGGUGAGGUUGGUGAUGAUGGUUUGAAAGAUGAUGAGAAGAAUGAUGAAUUUGUAAAUGAAGCUGGAAAUGAAGGUGAUGAUGUUAUGCUUGAAGACCGUCAUGUUGUUGAUGAU